rnacentral:lncRNA from 1 species
UUCCCUUUUUUCUUUCUUUUUUGAAAAAAAAAUGUUCUUUGACAAUGCACGGUUGGCAAGGAAAGACUUUAAAGUGAUGGUUAAAAAGACAGAAAGGGGGAGAGAGAGAAAGACGGGUGGAAUGGAGAUAUUUGUCGAAAAUAGACAUUAAUAAUGUUGUGUUGACUUGUUCGGCCACUUUUAAUCCUUAAAACACGGUUCUGCUCUGAGAAUUGAUUUUUUGGGGGGGGUGGGGAGACCUUUUGGUGGUUCUGUGCAGUUUUGCAGUGCCUUUGAGGAAGAGUUUGAGCGUACAAAUGGUAGAGGUGCUGCCAGCCCCGUUCCCUCCCCUGCCUGCUGCUACCUCCAGCUGGGAUCCCCCUGCAGAUCGGUGUGGGUGCUGGUAAUACCGGGCGCUGUGUCCCCUAAUUUGGGGGGACCGAGGACACAACGUGUAAGCCAAGGCUGGCCUUAGUCUGGAACAGGGUUUUAUUAUUUUAUUUUCAUUUUCACAGCUAGGCGCUCCCCGUGUCUUCCUCAGGGACUCUCGCUUGUGUUUGCCCUGCGUUUUUCUUAAUUUCAUGGAGCCGAGGCGAUCGAUGGGGAGGCUGGGCUGGGAUUUGGGGCAGCCCGCUGUGACUGAUGGCCUGGGCAGCCCCGGCCCCGCUGCCCCUGUCGAGGCGGGGGAGCUGAUGGGGCUGGGGUCGGUGCUGUGGGAUGGGUGCUGUCCCCCAGGGGAUGCCGCAUCCCUCCUGUAGGGUCUUCCUGGAGCCCGAGGGGGCAUUCUAUGCAGGUGGUGAUGCCGUGAGUGCCGCAGGAGAGGAGCAAUGGGAUGAGUUUUAAACCUCACGAGGGCUGGGCUCUGCCUUGGGAGCCCUGGUGGGGCCGGGAGCAAGGCAACCCCAGGGACCCUUGCCUCUGGUGUCAGCAGAGCGGUGCUGGCGUCUCGGUGCCGUCUAUAUGGGAAAUGUUGGUUUCCAUAGGAACGGCCUGUGGCAGCGCUGGCUUUUGGGGGAGGUGGCAUCUGGAUGGUGGCAGGAGCCUGGCGUGGCUGCGCACUGUCUCAUGGCUGCAGGAGCUGAUGAAGGAGCAAUGCAGAGGUCCCCCAUGGCCCCCCCAUCCCUGGUCAGCCCCUGCUCCCCCCAGCGAAGGCAAGGUUUCCCUCCUCCAGCAACCCGCUGCUGAUGCGCCGCAGCGGGAACCCAAAGGCGAAGUGUCAGGAACGGUCUAAACAAAUAUUAGCCAAUUAAUAUUACAUGCGGGGGAGCUCGGGGGGAGGAGGAAGGGGAGGUCUUGCCGGAGGAUGCGCAGCCUGCGUGUACCUGUCCUGCAUGGCAAUGCCUGAGAGCCCCGGGCAGCGCGGGCGUGCUCUGGAAUGGCAAUGUGGGGGUGUUGUGCACCAUGUGUGGCUCGCGUCAGCUUCCCUGCUAGACCAGGAGGGGGCUGGUGUGUUUCCAGCUUGCUUACUGGUCAGAAAAGGCAAUGGUGGAUUUUACCAGGUUUUGGUGUUGCUCAAAAACCCCUCAUUAUUAGUCACUGAGCAGUCUGUUGCUGCGCAUGGUUGUUUGUAGGGUCAGGCCCUUAACAGGUACCAAACACCCCUCUUCCCAAAGGAAGGGCUGUUUAUAGGACAGUGGGCUCCCUGGGGUGUGUGAUCUCAGAAGGUUUGGCACCCUCCCUGCCUCUCCUCCAUGGAUGUGGUAAAUGAAGCCCAGGAGAAGCUGAUGGAGACUGAACCAUAGGGCAAAGCAGGCAGCCAGGUCUCACCAUCAUCUCUGAGAUGCCAAAAACCUAUAAAGGGGAUGUGGUCCAGGCGGAUGCCCAGUGCAUCAACCUCGUGCUGGUGACCUCUCCAGCAGUGCUGUUGUUGCAAACAAUCCUGCAGUUGCUCUCUGUGCUUGCUUACCAUUGCCUUUGGGUAGUAAUUAGUACCCUCUGAUGGGGAAAUAGGGCCUUGAGCUGCUGCAUUCCCUGUGGGCCAGCGCGGAAGGAGGAGCGCGCUCCAGCUGUUGGUUUGCUGCUCUGGGGGAAGCUGGUGGAUGCUGGGUGGAAAUGACAGCUCGUUACAAGUCCAGCUGUUAAAUAAACAGAACAGCUCUCACCCCUGAUUCUGUGGG